UACGUAGGGUGCAAGCGUUGUCCGGAAUUAUUGGGCGUAAAGAGCUCGUAGGCGGCUUGUCGCGUCUGCUGUGAAAACCCGAGGCUCAACCUCGGGCCUGCAGUGGGUACGGGCAGGCUAGAGUGCGGUAGGGGAGAUUGGAAUUCCUGGUGUAGCGGUGGAAUGCGCAGAUAUCAGGAGGAACACCAAUGGCGAAGGCAGAUCUCUGGGCCGCUACUGACGCUGAGGAGCGAAAGCAUGGGGAGCGAACAGG
rnacentral:rRNA from 1 species